UACGGAGGGAGCUAGCGUUGUUCGGAAUUACUGGGCGUAAAGCGCACGUAGGCGGCUUUGUAAGUUAGAGGUGAAAGCCCGGGGCUCAACUCCGGAACUGCCUUUAAGACUGCAUCGCUUGAAUCCAGGAGAGGUGAGUGGAAUUCCCAGUGUAGAGGUGAAAUUCGUAGAUAUUGGGAAGAACACCGGUGGCGAAGGCGGCUCUCUGGACCGAGACUGACGCUGAGGCGCGAAAGCGUGGGGAGCAAACAGG
rnacentral:rRNA from 1 species